rnacentral:tRNA from 1 species
GACCCCGUAGCUCAGCAGGAUAGAGCGUCAGAUUCCUAAUCUGAAGGUCACAGGUUCGAAUCCUGUCGGGGUCGCCA